rnacentral:rRNA from 1 species
UUUUAAAUGGCCGCAGUAUUUUGACUGUGCAAAGGUAGCAUAAUCAUUAGUUUUUUAAUUAAAAGCUUGUAUGAAAGGCUGGACGAGGUAAAAUCUGUCUCUAUCUAAAUUAUAGUAGAAUUUAACUUUUAAGUUAAAAGGCUUAAAUAUUAUUAAAAGACGAGAAGACCCUAUAGAUCUUUAUAACUUAUUAAAUUAAAUUAAUUUAGAAAUAUUAAUGUUUUAUUUAACUAAGGUAUUUUAUUGGGGUAAUAAAAAGAUUAAAUAAAUUCUUUUUUAUAAUAAACAUUAAUUUAUGAAUAUUAAUGAUCCAGUUUUACUGAUUAUAAGAUUAAGUUACCUUAGGGAUAACAGCGUAAUUUUUUUAGAGAGUUCAUAUCGAUAAAAAAGUUUGCGACCUCGAUGUUGGAUUAAAGAUUAUUUUAGGUGUAGAAGCUUAAUAAUUUUGGUCUGUUCGACCAUUAAAUCUUUACAUGAUCUGAGUUCAGACCGGCGUAAGCCAGGUCGGUUUCUAUCUUUAAUAAAAUAAAAUAUUUUAGUACGAAAGGACCAAAUAUUUAAUAUAUUUAUAUUUAAUUUAUUGAAUAUUA